rnacentral:lncRNA from 1 species
GAAUAGGCCGCGGUUCUCUGACCAACCGCGGCCUAUUCCCCUGUCAAUUUAUUGCAGGGCAGGUGGCAGGGGGAAUAGGCCGCGGUUGGUCAGAGAACCGCGGCCUAUUCCCCCUACCACAUGCUGACAUUCCCCAAAAGGCAGCCCCUGCAAUAAAUUGACAAGGGAAUAGGCCGCGGUUGGUCAGAGAACCGCGGCCUAUUCCCCUGUCAAUUUAUUGCAGGUGCUGACUGAUGGCGAAUGUCAACAGGUUGCAGGGGGAAUAGGUCGCGGUUCUCUGACCAACCGCGGCCUAUUCCACCUGCUGACAUUCCCCAUAAGGCAGUUGGAGGCAGUUGGAGAAUUCUGAACGUUGGGGAAUAGGCCGCGGUUGGCCAGAGAACCGUGGCCUAUGCCCUUGUCUCAGUAAAUUUUAAUAUUUACAGGGUAUAUGUCGCGGUUGGGCGCUGAACCGCGGCAUAUAAGCUACAAAAAAUUUCAAAAAUGCCAUUACAUAUUAUUUUUUUAAAAUGAAUAGGCCGCGGUUGGCUAGAGAACCGCGGCCUAUUCCCCCUUUAUGCCGCGGUUAAGUGUAGAACCGCGGCAGAUUCUCUAUCUGAUAGUUAAAAAAUAUUGAACAGUUUCAUCUUCUUCACUCUUCUGAAUACGAUUUCGCAUUCUUCUCCUCCGCUGCACCCCUGCCAUUGCUACGCUGCAAGCCUUUCGUCUCCGUCCGCCGCGAUUUGUUGGGACCUGCAAAACGUUCGUCUCUGUCUCCGCCGCGAUUUGUUCGGACCUUUCUUCCGUCAUUACGCUAGCACUGCAACUCUCCACCGCUGCAUUCCAAACGCCGCCAUUGCAAUUCACGCCGCCACUACAACUCUCAACCGCUGCAUUCCAGGUACCGCUGCUACCUUCGACUUUAUAUAUUGAUUUUGCGUCUCUGUUUGCUUUGCUUUGAUUAAAUUGAGUGUUUGCUUUGCUUUCUCUGUGUAUUUGCUUCUCGUGCCACCAUUGUUGUUG